UACGUAGGGGGCAAGCGUUGUCCGGAAUCAUUGGGCGUAAAGCGCGUGUAGGCGGCUCGGUAAGUCUGCUGUGAAAGUCCAGGGCUCAACCCUGGGAUGCCGGUGGAUACUGUCGAGCUCGAGUCCGGAAGAGGCGAGUGGAAUUCCUGGUGUAGCGGUGAAAUGCGCAGAUAUCAGGAAGAACACCCGUGGCUAAGGCGGCUCUCUAGUACGGUACUGACGCUGAGACGCGAAAGCGUGGGGAGCGAACAGG
rnacentral:rRNA from 1 species